rnacentral:rRNA from 1 species
AGAUGGCGACCGGCGCACGGGUGAGUAACACGUAUCCAACCUGCCGAUAACUCGGGGAUAGCCUUUCGAAAGAAAGAUUAAUACCCGAUGGCAUAGUUAGACCGCAUGGUCUUAUUAUUAAAGAAUUUCGGUUAUCGAUGGGGAUGCGUUCCAUUAGGCAGUUGGUGAGGUAACGGCUCACCAAACCUUCGAUGGAUAGGGGUUCUGAGAGGAAGGUCCCCCACAUUGGAACUGAGACACGGUCCAA